GACGAACGCUGGCGGCGUGCUUAACACAUGCCAGUCGAGCGGUAAGGCCUUUCGGGGUACACGAGCGGCGAACGGGUGAGUAACACGUGGGUGAUCUGCCCUGCACUUCGGGAUAAGCCUGGGAAACUGGGUCUAAUACCGGAUAUGACCUCCUAUCGCAUGGUGGGUGGUGGAAAGAUUUAUCGGUGCAGGAUGGGCCCGCGGCCUAUCAGCUUGUUGGUGGGGUAAUGGCCUACCAAGGCGACGACGGGUAGCCGACCUGAGAGGGUGACCGGCCACACUGGGACUGAGACACGGCCCAGACUCCUACGGGAGGCAGCAGUGGGGAAUAUUGCACAAUGGGCGAAAGCCUGAUGCAGCGACGCCGCGUGAGGGAUGACGGCCUUCGGGUUGUAAACCUCUUUCAGCAGGGACGAAGCGCAAGUGACGGUACCUGCAGAAGAAGCACCGGCUAACUACGUG
rnacentral:rRNA from 1 species